rnacentral:tRNA from 1 species
GCCGGAGUAGCUCAACUGUAGAGCAACUGACUUGUAAUCAGUAGGUUGAGGGUUCAAGUCCUUUCUCCGCACCA